GAUGAACGCUGGCGGCGUGCCUAAUACAUGCAAGUCGAGCGAACGGACGAGAAGCUUGCUUCUCUGAUGUUAGCGGCGGACGGGUGAGUAACACGUGGAUAACCUACCUAUAAGACUGGGAUAACUUCGGGAAACCGGAGCUAAUACCGGAUAAUAUUUUGAACCGCAUGGUUCAAAAGUGAAAGACGGUCUUGCUGUCACUUAUAGAUGGAUCCGCGCUGCAUUAGCUAGUUGGUAAGGUAACGGCUUACCAAGGCAACGAUGCAUAGCCGACCUGAGAGGGUGAUCGGCCACACUGGACCUGAGACACGGUCCAGACUCCUACGGGCGGCAGCAGUAGGGAAUCUUCCGCAAUGGGCGAAAGCCUGACGGAUCAACGCCGCGUGAGUGAUGAAGGUCUUCGGAUCGUAAAACUCUGUUAUUAGGGAAGAACAUAUGUGUAAGUAACUGUGCACAUCUUGACGGUACCUAAUCAGAAAGCCACGGCUAACUACGUG
rnacentral:rRNA from 1 species